rnacentral:rRNA from 1 species
GAUGAACGCUGGCGGCGUGCCUAAUACAUGCAAGUCGAACGCACAGCGAAAGGUGCUUGCACCUUUCAAGUGAGUGGCGAACGGGUGAGUAACACGUGGACAACCUGCCUCAAGGCUGGGGAUAACAUUUGGAAACAGAUGCUAAUACCGAAUGAAACUUAGUGUCGCAUGAUACGAAGUUAAAAGGCGCUUUGGCGUCACCUAGAGAUGGAUCCGCGGUGCAUUAGUUAGUUGGUGGGGUAAAGGCCUACCAAGACAAUGAUGCAUAGCCGAGUUGAGAGACUGAUCGGCCACAUUGGGACUGAGACACGGCCCAAACUCCUACGGGAGGCUGCAGUAGGGAAUCUUCCACAAUGGGCGAAGCCUGAUGGAGCAACGCCGCGUGUGUGAUGAAGGCUUUCGGGUCGUAAAGCACUGUUGUAUGGGAAGAACAGCUAGAAUAGGGAAUGAUUUUAGUUUGACGGUACCAUACCAGAAAGGGACGGCUAAAUACGUGCCAGCAGCCGCGGUAAUACGUAUGUCCCGAGCGUUAUCCGGAUUUAUUGGGCGUAAAGCGAGCGCAGACGGUUGAUUAAGUCUGAUGUGAAAGCCCGGAGCUCAACUCCGGAAUGGCAUUGGAAACUGGUUAACUUGAGUGCAGUAGAGGUAAGUGGAACUCCAUGUGUAGCGGUGGAAUGCGUAGAUAUAUGGAAGAACACCAGUGGCGAAGGCGGCUUACUGGACUGUAACUGACGUUGAGGCUCGAAAGUGUGGGUAGCAAACAGGAUUAGAUACCCUGGUAGUCCACACCGUAAACGAUGAACACUAGGUGUUAGGAGGUUUCCGCCUCUUAGUGCCGAAGCGAAGGCAUUAAGUGUUCCGCCUGGGGAGUACGACCGCAAGGUUGAAACUCAAAGGAAUUGACGGGGACCCGCACAAGCGGUGGAGCAUGUGGUUUAAUUCGAAGCAACGCGAAGAACCUUACCAGGUCUUGACAUCCUUUGAAGCUUUUAGAGAUAGAAGUGUUCUCUUCGGAGACAAAGUGACAGGUGGUGCAUGGUCGUCGUCAGCUCGUGUCGUGAGAUGUUGGGUUAAGUCCCGCAACGAGCGCAACCCUUAUUGUUAGUUGCCAGCAUUCAGAUGGGCACUCUAGCGAGACUGCCGGUGACAAACCGGAGGAAGGCGGGGACGACGUCAGAUCAUCAUGCCCCUUAUGACCUGGGCUACACACGUGCUACAAUGGCGUAUACAACGAGUUGCCAACCCGCGAGGGUGAGCUAAUCUCUUAAAGUACGUCUCAGUUCGGAUUGUAGUCUGCAACUCGACUACAUGAAGUCGGAAUCGCUAGUAAUCGCGGAUCAGCACGCCGCGGUGAAUACGUUCCCGGGUCUUGUACACACCGCCCGUCACACCAUGGGAGUUUGUAAUGCCCAAAGCCGGUGGCCUAACCUUUUAGGAAGGAGCCGUCUAAGGCAGGACAGAUGACUGGGGUGAAGUCGUAACAAGGU